GGACAAAGCAGCAAGGAGUGGUUUCUGUGAAGAGAAGCGCCCCAAAUCAAUGGCUCAUACCCAUACACUCUGAAAAAUCCCCCCUACAGCUUUCUCCACCGUCAAAAACAAAGUGUGUGUGCGUCGGCAGCGGUUCUACUUGUGCUUUUUUCAAGAGGAAUGAACUACUCUGGAAAAUAACCUCGGCUGUGCUGCUGGUCAGAGAAGAGAGUCGCCGCCGCUGGAUGGUGGCUGCUUUUUAAGUUUCGCCUUCCUAACAUGCGCUGUGUCUGAAGAAGUUGACCUGCGGUUUGAAUCCACUCUGGAAGACCAUGCUGUCCCUCCUGCUCCCCGCAAUGCUGGCCGUCCAAGCUAUGGCUGUGAUGGAAGUGCACGUCCCGGAGCAGCCAGUGGUGGCUCUGCACGGCAGGGAUGCCACACUCAACUGCUCCUUCAGCCUUGCCACCCCCUUCAACCUGACUGAUCUGACCGUCUUCUGGCAGCUGACAGACACCAAACGCAGUGUGCACGGGUACAGGGAGGGACACGACCAGCUGGCGGACCAGGCCGAGAGCUUCGCCAACCGUACCAGCCUGUUCCCCGCCCAGCUGGGCCUGGGCAACACUUCGCUCCUGUUGCGCAGGGUGGUGGUGGCUGACGAAGGCAGCUAUACCUGCUUCGUCAGGGUGCAGGACUACGGCAGUGCUGCUUUGCUGCUCCAGGUUGCCGCCCCCUACUCCAAGCCCAUAGUGACUUUGGAGCCCGAAUCCAAUCUGCGUCCAGGUGAUGAGGUAGCCCUGACUUGUGCGGCCUACGGCGGUUAUCCUCAAGCUGACGUGGUAUGGCAGGAUGGGGGCGGGCGCAACCUGACGGACAAUAUCACCAAUUCAGUGGUGGCCAAUGAGGAAGGGCUGUUCACUAUGACCAGCGUGCUGACAGUUGUGCUGGAGCCCAAUAGCACCUACAGCUGCCGACUGAUCAAUCCACUACUAGGAGAGGAGGGCUACGCCUCUGUCACAAUCACAGGUCAGAACAUUGCGUUCCCCCCGGUGGCUCUGUGGGUAACUGUUGGCCUGGCCGUGUGUCUGCUGGUUCUGCUCAUUGCCUUGGCUGCUGUGUGCCGCAGGAAGAUCAAGGAGAGCUGCGAGGAAGCCAGGAGAGAAGAUUGAAGUUGACUCUCUCUUCACUGUGUCUGGGUAGCGAGGGUGGAGGGGUCAGUAAAAGUGGAGAAGUGACUGAAGAGGCCAAGGAGCUGGAAGAAGAGGAGUCAAAGACAGCCAUGACACUACUGAAAAGCUAAGGCCAAGAGAAUAAUGCAGUAAUGCUCUGGAGGAAACAGUGUCUCUGGAGGCUAUGGGAGUCGGGCCAGACGGCGGGUAGGAGAUGAGUCUGGCGGGUAAUCCCACUCCACCUAUCCAUCAACCUGGAGACUAUUUCCAGCGUCCCCUACAGAAUGUCAAAGCCUCGCUGAGCAGAAGAUGAGUCCAUCAUCUUCUUUCUAAGACUUUCCCUCGAGUUCCCAUCAAAACACAUAAACACAUCAUGUGCCAUUAUUUUCUAUUGCCCUCCCUCCCUUUCUGUCAAUGGAGGGCCGCGCGCAGUGAGCGAAUGCAGUUGAGUGGGUUGGGUUGUAUGCAGUAUGCAAAAGAGAGACUCUGUUUGAAAACUACAGGAUGUGACAGGAUCCUUUCUCUGUCGCCGACAUCACUCUGUAUGGGUUGUGAUGGGGCAUGUGCCAGAGAUCUCCUGUCUAAUAGGAAGUGAGACACUUAAAGAGAUGACCCUGCCUCAGUUGCCAUCACUGUCUCUCUGCCAGAGAGAGAGCUUGGCUCUCCCAUUACUCCUGCACUUGCUAAUUAGCGUCUGUCGCUGGAGUAACUUGUACCUGUCAGUGUGUGCCGCUCUCCUAUAUUCAGUAACUUGAGGGAAUUGAAAUUGAAUGCCAGCUAAGCUCCAACAAACUGCAAAUGGUGCAUGGGAUACACCCUGAUUUUCUCACUGACCUGACAGCCUUAUAUGUAAGAAAUUGUUUUUAAUGAACACACACUAUCUCGGCUAGUUUCUACUGCUUGUGUGAAGCGUUACAGGCUAGGGGGCUGUACAGGUUGUUUUACUCUAUAUUUUUAGGUACUUGACCAAGUCCUUGUGCCAUAUGUCCAUGUAUGAAUGCCAAAGCCAUUUGUGUCAGAUAACCCAGUGCCUAUUUACAUUAAAGAGACAUGGUGAAACUGCC